AAAGGAGUAAGCAGGCGGCACUUCGGGGAGGUGUCGACUGUUUACUCUUUCCCAUGGAAGUCAAAAGUGAUCUUUGCGUAAAGAAGUUCGCGAGAGUUCGUCGCUGUCAAUUAAAGGUUCUUUUGAAGACCCUGAACUGGAGUUACACGCAGACUUCGGUUCUUUGCGGAAAUGGAACCCGCUCUCGGGCCCUCAAGACCGGCUGCUUUUCAAUAUGCCAAGGAUGCAGCCUAGAAGUCUAGUGCGCUUUCAGGGUGCCAGAUUUUCGAGGCUCUGGAGGCAGGUGGAUGCCACUGCCUGGUGCAUCAUGGCAGAUGGACGAUUGUAAACAGCGAGCUGGUUGCUGGUGUGGGGUGCCCAGAGACCCGCGUUCUUUGGACACAGAGAAACUUUGGAGAAACCAAGGCAACAGACAUUUAACACCAUAAAUCAAUGAUCACUACUGAAAAUGAUUGUUGUUCCCUGCCAUUUGUCCGACCUGGAUGCUGUCUGCGUGAGUCCAACGAUCUGGUCGGCAGGAGAUCGAACAGAGGGCACUGCUGUGGUAUUCUUUGGAAAAACAGAAAGAGCCGGAGACGGUCCAAGGGGAAGGACCAAUCCAACCAGGAGAUCAGGUCUACGUGCAAGCGUUUCAAAGGAAGUGGGACGAACCAAGAAGGGAAGGGCCUUUCACGGUAAUCAAGGCAUCACCCUCGGCGGUUCAAGUGGAAGGGCGUUCCACUUGGUAUCAUCUCAACCACUGCACUAAGGCAGUUCCGCAGGUACAGUCAGAGGCGGAACCCGAGGUAAGUGGUGAGGAGGAGCAGAUUGCAGAGGCCAGCCAGGAAGAACAAGAAGCUGACACUGCAACACAGGAAUUUGACCAGGUGGUAUGGGAAGUCUUUGGUAAUUCUGAUGACUCUGAGAAUGAAGUUGGGGAUAGUAGUACUCUUUAAGAUAGUGGGGAUGGUUUGGGUAUAGUCAGUUUUGCCCCACAGGAUAACACACCCGCCUACUAUAGCGCAGAUUUGGAAACCAUCAACGUGGAGGAUAUGGCAUGGGAAUGAUGUAACCCUGGGAAACUCGGGAGCACGCAGUAAGAGAAGUAGCACACGCACCGGUUUGCCACGACAAGAGAACACAUGGUACCAACGGGCAAUGUAUACAGCAAGCACGAUGGAAAGACAGAAUUGCUACCUGUACUCAAGGGCAAGCCCUGCUCAGCAUGUAGUUCCCAUGCCUUAUAACUCCUCCACCUGCACGCGGUGGCGAAGAGAGCACGGGGAACAAUGGGAACGCCGGUGUCCAGGUCCGGUUAGGGCUUGUUUCAUGAGGAUUUGCUUUAAAGCAGAUCCCUGUUAUCGAAACUGUAUGAACAAUGCACCAAUGUGCCCCUAUUGGUGUAUGCUAUAUCAGGCUUCCUCGCAGCUUGAUCAAAGCAAGCUUGCCUCUGAAUGCAAUUACAGCAGACCCUGGGCUACAAAUAAAAGAAGACAGACACCUACACUGCAACAGCUUAUAAUGCAGGACCAUCUGAGUUAUGAACGAUUCAUGCGGGUGGGCACUCACCCGGUUGGCCACUUCCGAGGCAACUCCACUCAGACGUGGGAUGUAACCCCAUGUAAAAGACACUUAACGGGUUCCCCUCCUCCUGAGGGUGCAUUGGACUCUCAGACUAUCCCAUUAGUAGACACUUGGUGGCUGUGUGGACAGAAAGGAGGUCUGAGAUCUACACUCCCCCUCAAUUGGGCAGGAACAUGCACGCGUGUCAUGCUGCUUCAAGAAGUUAUAAUGUCCCCUGAAGUACAGUCCAACGCUAACUUCCCUGAGCAGCGGACGCUGCUAUGGCAGAAGAGAAAAUAUGAACCUGACCCGACAAUCCGGAUUGACAGUAUAGGACAGCCGAGAGGUAUACCUAACGAAUUCAAGGCAUGAGAUUGCUGCAGGCUGGGAAGCUAUCAUACCUGUGAUAGGGGUAAGCAAAAAUGUUGAAUGGAUGAAUUAUAUAUACUACAAUCAACAGAGGUUCAUCAACUACACCGAUGAUGCGCUGGAGUCCUUAGGGCAACAGCUAGAUGCAACUAGCAGCAUGGCGUGGCAAAACAGACAGGUACUGGAUUGGCUUUUGGCAGAAAAUGUGUGUGUGUGUGUAAUGUUUGGAAAACAAUGCUGCACUUUCAU